AGCUCCAAUAGCGUAUAUUAAAGUUGUUGCAGUUAAAAAGCUCGUAGUUGAACUUCUGGCUGUGGCGGCAGCAGGCUUCGGUCGCUGUCGUUGCGGUCAUCCGCUUGGGAACUACGUUCGGACUUCAUUGUUUGGCGUAAGGAACAGGCAUUUUACUUUGAAAAAAUUAGAGUGUUCAAGGCAGGCUAUCGCCCUGAAUACACAAGCAUGGAAUAAUGAAAUAGGACUAUUUCCAUUUUAUUGGUUAUUGGAAUUAGUAAUGAUUAAUAGGGACAGUUGGGGGCAUUAGUAUUUCGUUGUCAGAGGUGAAAUUCUUGGAUUUACGAAAGACUAACUUAUGCGAAAGCAUUUGCCAAGGAUGUUUUCAUUA
rnacentral:rRNA from 2 species